GAUGAACGCUAGCUACAGGCUUAACACAUGCAAGUCGAGGGGCAGCACUAGGUAGCAAUAUUGAGGUGGCGACCGGCGCACGGGUGCGUAACGCGUAUCCAACCUUCCCGGUACUCUUGAAUAGCCUUCCGAAAGGGAGAUUAAUACAAGAUGGUGUUUCAAUUCCGCAUGUUAUUGAAACUAAAGAUUUAUCGGUAUCGGAUGGGGAUGCGUGACAUUAGAUAGUAGGCGGGGUAACGGCCCACCUAGUCUACGAUGUCUAGGGGUUCUGAGGGGAAGGUCCCCCACACUGGAACUGAGACACGGUCCAGACUCCUACGGGAGGCAGCAGUGAGGAAUAUUGGUCAAUGGUCGGAAGACUGAACCAGCCAAGUAGCGUGAAGGAUGAAGGUUCUAUGGAUUGUAAACUUCUUUUAUACGGGAAUAAAACACCUUACGUGUAGGGUCUUGUAUGUACCGUAUGAAUAAGCAUCGGCUAACUCCGUGCCAGCCGCCGCAGUAAUAC
rnacentral:rRNA from 1 species